CUGACUUUCAAUGGGACUUAGACUCCUAAUAGUGGGAUUUUUAAAAAUGUGCUUGAACAGAUUAGAUGCCCAACUUUCAUAGAAAUCAAAUGGGAGUAAGGUACCUGAAGUGUAACAUUCCUCAGAUGUUUUUGCUAUUUAUGAAUGUGGACUAAAACUAUUUUCUCUUUUAACAGAACCCAACCAACGAAGACCCACAGCUAUCACACAAACAGCAGAGAUAUUGCCUGUAAUUCCUGAACAUGAGCAUUCUCAGCAGGCAUAGGAGGCCUUCCAGUACGAAACAUAAUCGAUACACCAUGAAAGAAGCCAUCUUCAUUUCCAAUCCAUCCUUCCUGGCUACCUUAGCCAGCUCUUAUUCCUAAAAAUGCCAGGAACCUCAGAUAACAGGAUUUUGUAUUAAUCAAAACCACUCUAUUAAAAUAUGAACAAUGGAUAAACUGAUAUGGUGCUGUAGAAUCAACCUCAUUGGAAGACUGUAGAUUUCAUAUCUAUUUUGGGUUCAUUGAGGAUUUAUACUUACUCACAAAGUUGAGAGGUUAUCCUUGCUAAAAUUUUUCUUUCCAACUGAGAAGAAACUCAAUUUGUAUUCUCUGUGAAAAAAUGAGACCAUUUUAAAUGGAAAAAUAUGUAUAUUUUGAUGGACCAUGGAUGUUAGUUUAUGUAAUAUGAAUGUCAUAGGUCACAAUGAUCCUUAAAGAUGUCUGGCUGCUGCUAAAGAAGCAAGAAGGGUCACACAUCAUGGGCUAAAUCUUGAAGCUCAAUGUGAAUACCAUGGAACUUUUGCAGUGAAGUCAAUGAGAGUUUUGCAUGCACAAAGACUGCAGGAUCUUAAUGAGUUAAGGGAAAAAUGUGGAUAAAUAGUGCAGAUUUGGCUCCAAACUAUAAAACCAUUUUUUUUAAACAACUCAUUAGCAGCACCAAAUGAAUUGGGUACUACUUGAUAGAUUGCAAUCCUAUUUUUGCAUCAGUUUAGGUCAUUAGUAUUCAGACUCAUUAUCUCCGGCAACUUUUCCUUACUUUCCAUUUAUUACUGCUCCUCUGAGUGCAGUGGAGCUGUUUGGGCUGAUCAGGGUCCCAAACUCAUUCUGUGCUUACACAUUAUUUGUGGGUACAAUUUAGCCAUAAAUUACCAGCAAGAGACUGAAAUUGCAGAGCUAGGGCUUCUAACUCCCUUGUGCUAAAUCCAUCAGGAUGAACAGAUUGUAAA
rnacentral:lncRNA from 1 species